AUUGAACGCUGGCGGCAGGCCUAACACAUGCAAGUCGAGCGGAUGAAGGGAGCUUGCUCCUGGAUUCAGCGGCGGAGGGGUGAGUAAUGCCUAGGAAUCUGCCUGGUAGUGGGGGAUAACGUCCGGAAACGGGCGCUAAUACCGCAUACGCCCUGAGGGAGAAAGCGGGGGAUCUUCGGACCUCACGCUAUCAGAUGAGCCUAGGUCGGAUUAGCUAGUUGGUGGGGUAAAGGCCUACCAAGGCGACGAUCCGUAACUGGUCUGAGAGGAUGAUCAGUCACACUGGAACUGAGACACGGUCCAGACUCCUACGGGAGGCAGCAGUGGGGAAUAUUGGACAAUGGGCGAAAGCCUGAUCCAGCCAUGCCGCGUGUGUGAGGAAGGUCUUCGGAUUGUAAAGCACUUUAGGUUGGGAGGAAGGGCAGUAAGUUAAUACCUUGCUGUUUUGACGUUACCAACAGAAUAAGCACCGGCUAACUUCGUG
rnacentral:rRNA from 1 species